GAAAUUCGAAGACGUAUCAUUGCCGGAAGUCGUGCUUACUAUGGACUCCACAAGACCUUGCGGUCUGGUAAACUUCACUUCCGUACUAAGUGUACCAUGUAUGUUCGGAUCAGCGAGAAUAGACUGUCCGGUGGUGAAUCCCUCGACAGCUUGAUACUGCGAAAGCUCAGACAGAUGGGGACCAUGGGGAAACAUUAAUCUUUGAGCGUAAUAACCAAAAUCGCUUCAGAGAAGUUUUUCAUCCCUCCCACAAUCCGAACAAUGUACAAGACGCUAAGACCGGUAGCCCUCUAUGUUGAAAGGUUUACAAUUCAAUAUCCUACACAAAUAUCAUACCUCUCUCAACGAACUUCCACACUUUUACCUACGACGACGUAUGCUUCUCAACCGACGAUUCUUCUACCUGAGGUGCGACACUACCUCUAUUCCAACACUCUACGGGCGACAAUGCUCGAAGAGGACC